UGAGCUUGCGUCCGAUUAGCUAGUUGGCGGGGCAACGGCCCACCAAGGCGACGAUCGGUAGCCGGCCUGAGAGGGUGAUCGGCCACAUUGGGACUGAGAUACGGCCCAGACUCCUACGGGAGGCAGCAGUAGGGAAUAUUGCACAAUGGGGGAAACCCUGAUGCAGCAACGCCACGUGUGGGAAGAAGCAUUUCGGUGUGUAAACCACUGUCAUGAGGGAAUAAGGCCCGCCUUCGGGCGGGAUUGAAUGUACCUUGAGAGGAAGCACCGGCAAACUUCGUGCCAGCAGCCGCGGUAAUACGAGGGGUGCAAGCGUUGUUCGGAAUUACUGGGCGUAAAGGGAGCGUAGGCGGAGAUUCAAGCGGAUUGUACAAUCCCGGGGCCCAACCCCGGCUCUGCAGUCCGAACUGGAUCUCUUGGAUAGUUCAGGGGCAGGCGGAAUUCCUGGUGUAGCGGUGGAAUGCGUAGAGAUCAGGAAGAACACCGAUGGCGAAGGCAGCCUGCUGGGGACUUAUCGACGCUGAGGCUCGAAAGUGCGGGUAGCAAACAGGAUUAGAUACCCUGGUAGUCCGCACCGUAAACAAUGCAUACUGGGUGUCCGGGGGUUCCCCCGGGUACCGUAGCCAACGCGUUAAGUAUGCCGCCUGGGGAGUACGUACGCAAGUAUGAAACUCAAAGGAAUUGACGGGGGCCCGCACAAGCGGUGGAGCA
rnacentral:rRNA from 1 species